AUAAGUAUCCGAUUCAAAGAAGAAAAUUACUCUCGCUGUAGGAAUAAAUGCUGUUUUCAAGACAAAAAGUGAGUGAGUGCAGUGCCCUGGCUCUCAUAAGAACAGUGAGCUGCUGGUUUGCCAGGACAUUUAAAAGCUGUUAGGCUGGCCAAAAAGUUCCCGAAUGUUGGAGCAAUUUCUGGCCAACCCGGUAUUUGGUUGAAUGAGUGGGCUUGCUUAGUAAACCACAAGAUUAUUUGUUAAAUAAAGGUACCUGACCCUUGGGGAGAGGUGCAGAGUUUCCUGGCUGUG
rnacentral:lncRNA from 1 species